UUAAGAGGGAGGUAUCGAGUUAAAAAUAAAAAAAUCCCUUUAAAAGUAAUGAAGAAAAAAUCAACAUGGCGUGAGAGAUCGUGACUUAAGGUUUUUAUUUUAGGUUUUGACGUUCAACAUCUUAGCUCUCGGUAUACAGCAUUUGCUUCGAGCAUAUAUAUCAUAGAGAGCUUAUUCGUCGUUUGUUUGGAAACCGAGAUCUCGAACAGCUGAUUGUUGGCUACCUGCUGGAAAACUUCCAUAAGAACCAAUGUAGUGGCGGGCUAUCGUGCGGGAUUUCUAUAGUUUGCUGCGUUUGAGAAAGAUAAUAGGUUUGGUUUAUAUUAAUAAACGUAUUAAUUAACCAACGUAGAAAUAUAUUAGUGCUGAAGCUUAUCAGAAAGUUUGUAAAAUAUGGUUUUUUAACUUGAAGACCCAACCCUUGUUUACCCUACUUCAAAUGUAUUUAAUUUAAUAUGGUUACUUCUUGUGUUGCGUACGGAUGUAAUGAGAGAUUCGAAAAAAGAAGCAGUGUUUCGUUUCACAGUUGAUGAGAAAAGAAGAAGUAUUUGGACUUUGGCUCUUAAAAGGGUUGAUUUAUAUAUGAUCUUUUGUUUUGAGUAAAGAGCAGACAUUCAUAAAACUAAACAGGGUUGAUGCAUUUGUAAACAAAGAUUGUGCAAUGAUAUGGAUGCCAAUGAUGUGACCAAAUUCUUGUAAUUUAUGUCUUUGGACUAAAUUUAUUUACUACUUAUUAGAAUGUAAACUCAAGAAAUGUAACAUACUGUAUAUGCCUAUGUUUACCAUAAUUAUAUAGUUUUAAGUUUCAUUGAAGCUAAAUGUAAAAUGAUUUUGGAAAAGUAUCUGUAUGUGUGUGUGAAUGUGACAUACAAUUGUACAUGAACUAUUGUAUUUAAUAAAAUAGAUUUUCUUACUUUUUUUUUUUAACUAAAAUGGUUUUCAAUUUUGAUUUAUUAUUUAUUUUAGAACCUGAAACCUCAUAUAUUUAACUGCUGUAAUUUAAACAUAACUUGUUAUUUUUUGUUUACUUUUAAUUGUAGGUAAUUAGAUACUGUAGAUACCUACCAUAUUGUUUUUCAGUUCCUAACUCGGUGGCCAAGGCGGCAGUUCAGCUUGUCGCUCAGCAAGUCAGAAUAUAAUGUCUAUAUUUAAAUGUGUGCUUUAAUAAGAAUAAAUUUGUCAUUCCUUCCUCA